CAGCCGCCGCGGUAAAACGUAGGUGGCAAGCGUUGUCCGGAAUUAUUGGGCGUAAAGGGCUCGCAGGCGGUUUCUUAAGUCUGAUGUGAAAGCCCCCGGCUCAACCGGGGAGGGUCAUUGGAAACUGGGAAACCUGAGUGUAGAAGAGGAGAGUGGAAUUCCACGUGUAGCGGUGAAAUGCGUAGAGAUGUGGAGGAACACCAGUGGCGAAGGCGACUCUCUGGUCUGUAACUGACGCUGAGGAGCGAAAGCGUGGGGAGCGAACAGGAUUAGAUACCCGAGUAGUCCCUGUCUCUUAUAC
rnacentral:rRNA from 1 species